AGCGAACGCUGGCGGCAGGCUUAACACAUGCAAGUCGAGCGGGCACUUUCGGGUGUCAGCGGCGGACGGGUGAGUAACGCGUGGGAACGUGCCCUCUGGUUCGGAAUAACUCAGGGAAACUUGAGCUAAUACCGGAUACGCCCUUUUGGGGAAAGGCUUGCUGCCGGAGGAUCGGCCCGCGUCUGAUUAGCUAGUUGGUGAGGUAACGGCUCACCAAUGCGACGAUCAGUAGCUGGUCAGAGAGGAUGAUCAGCCACACUGGGAGUGAGACACGGCCCAGACUCCUACGGGAGGCAGCAGUGGGGAAUAUUGGACAAUGGGCGCAAGCCUGAUCCAGCCAGGCCGCGUGAGUGAUGAAGGCCUUAGGGUUGUAAAGCUCUUUUAUCCGGGACGAUAAUGACGGUACCGGAGGAAUAAGCCCCGGCUAACUUCGUG
rnacentral:rRNA from 1 species